CCUACGGGCGGCAGCAGUGGGGAAUAUUGGACAAUGGGCGAAAGCCUGAUCCAGCCAUGCCGCGUGUGUGAAGAAGGCCUUCGGGUUGUAAAGCACUUUCAGUGGGGAAGAAAGCCUUGGGGCUAAUACCCUCGAGGAAGGACAUCACCCACAGAAGAAGCACCGGCUAACUCCGUGCCAGCAGCCGCGGUAAUACGGAGGGUGCGAGCGUUAAUCGGAAUUACUGGGCGUAAAGCGCGCGUAGGCGGUCUGAUAAGCCGGUUGUGAAAGCCCCGGGCUCAACCUGGGAACGGCAUCCGGAACUGUCAGGCUAGAGGGCAGGAGAGGAAGGUAGAAUUCCCGGUGUAGCGGUGAAAUGCGUAGAGAUCGGGAGGAAUACCAGUGGCGAAGGCGGCCUUCUGGACUAACACUGACGCUGAGGUGCGAAAGCGUGGGUAGCAAACAGGAUUAGAUACCCGAGUAGUC
rnacentral:rRNA from 1 species